GGGGGAGCGCCGGAUCCUGGGCUGUGUCCCCGGUGCCCUGGGCUCCCGGGGCUGCCGCGGCUGGAAUCACGCUCCCAGGCCGCGCAGCCUCCU
rnacentral:pre_miRNA from 1 species